GUGCCACGCCGAGCCCUGCUGCCUUGCUACCGUCGCUCCAUCGCCCGCGAGCUCGUGCUCCAGCUGCUGUCCAGAGGCCGAGAUCUGUCCACCGCCGUGCCUUGCUUGUUCUCGUUCGUCUCCGACGCCCGUGAAGCUCGUCGCGACCCACCGCUCCGCCCCACCGAGCAUCGCCCAUCGCCUAGGAGCCAAAGACCCGCGAUCCACCUGCUGUUCGGAGACGAAAACCCGAGCCAGAUCUGCCCACCGCCUGCACCGCGUCGGCUCCGAGCCUCCCCCGAAGCUGCUGCCGAUCCGAGCUUGACUGACCCGAACCCGCCGCUGCUCCGCUCGUCCGCCAACAACGACCCACAACGCCUAAGCCUGC
rnacentral:lncRNA from 1 species